AGAUUUCUCUGGCUGCAACAUCUGUCACCCCAUUGAUCUCCAGGGUUGAUUUGGCUGAUCUGGUUGGCUAAGCGGGGGUCCCCUUCCUCCCCCACUGCUCCAUGUGCGUCCCUCCCCAAGCUGUGCGCUUGGUCGAAGAGGAUGACCUUCCUCCAUAGAGGAGAGGACCAUUCUUUGGUCAAGGGUAUACGAGUAGCUGUGCUUCCCUGCUAGAACCUCCAAACAAGCUCUCAAGAAAAUACUUUUAAAGAGAGGUAAUAGCAAUAAUAAUGUAUUUAACUGAUGACAAUGAAGUAACUUGGAUAUUUAACAGUUCUUU
ensembl:misc_RNA 7SK 7SK RNA